rnacentral:lncRNA from 1 species
GCAAUAUUCAGAAAGGAUCUUGCAUAAUUCAUUGAUUCUGUUAUUUCGGAGAGUGAUCCUCAAAGUGUAAUGAGAGGACCCCCUUAAUUUGACAGGCCUGUGAAGACAGAAACCAACUGCUUUCGUUUGGGACUCUCUCUCUCUCUUUGUGGGACGCGUUGAUAUCAGGAUGAUAAUGAGGACUCUCUCUUUUCAAAAUAAUGGAUUCGUUAAUAACCAGUCUGGGGGUCUGGGAGGACUAGUUCAAAGGCCUUUAUGAUCUAAGAGCGAGCGUGGCAGCUUGUUGCCGAAGGUUUCCAAACCAGAGAUACUACUGAUUUAUUUAGGUCGCCAUGGAUAAAACACCAGGUUGUUGUUGCUGGACAAAAUCAUUUCAGCAGUUUGGGAAAUACAGCAGAGAGAGAAAACAACACGAACUACUUUGAAAUGCCAACUCAGUUGUGAAAACGAUGCGGGAGGUCAAUACAUUGUUCAAGAAGAUGUUAUGACACCGAUUAAGAAUUUGGAUAGACUGUGAGUCUAACCACAUUUUGAAAAUAAACAACAUGGAAGACACCAGACAUUUUUCCCUCAUUACAGUAGUCAUCAGUCACCUGCAAGGUCUCUUCCCAGCAAUUUAUCCACCUAAAUAUCUAGGCCAUACUGUGCAAAUCAUGUGUUAGCAGACCAAAUAAAAUAUUCACCUCAUCCAACAUUCAAUCAUGCAGUUCCUUAUUACAACAGACACAGUAGACGGAGACCACAUUGCAUGACUGUUAGCCAACAUCCAGCUGUAUCGUGCCUUUCCAGGUCUGUUCCGAAUGAAUUUGUUAUGGCCAAAUAAGUGGGGAGAAAUGGGAGUGGUGGUAUGGAUGCUGGGGUCCCCAUGUGGGUCACCUCUCAGGCAACAUCCCAGACUUAGGCUGCAUCCCAAAUGGCACCCUAUUCCCUACAUAGUGCACUACUUUUGACCAGGGCCCAUAGGGUAGUGUCCCUCAAAAGUAGUGCAUUAUGUAGAGAAAAGGGUUCCAUUUAGGAUGCAAUCCUAGACAGCUGCACCUCAGCCUCAAACAGCUGGGGAGAGACAGACUAUUAGCAGGCAAUUUAACCCCCAUCCCUCCAUCCUCCCUCCUUCAGACACCUUCACGCUUUCCUGGUGAACUGUUUUUGUCGCCUGUAAGUUCUAUGUACCGCACAUCGGUGUACCUGCACGCUGAUAGGCACGUGCAACCUGGCUGUAACGCAUGGAAUGUAUGUAUGGAAUAUGGAACUUCACCCCUACACCUGCAUGUUAGUGAGGUGAAGUGGUGAUGUCAUAGGAAGUGAUUGUGAUUAAGAGCAGGUCUAAUCCACCUCUCUACUUGGGUGAAUACCAAAAGAAUGUUGAUACGUACACUACUGGUAAAAAGUUUUAGAACACCUACUCAUUCAAGGUUUUUCUGAAUUUUUUACUAUUUUAUACAUUGCAGAAUAAUAGUGAAGACAUCAAACUAUGAAAUAACACAUAUGGAAUCAUGUAUUAACCCAAAAAGUUUUAAACAAAUGAAAAUAUAAUUGAUAUUCUUCAAAUGUAUUUUAUUUAUUUAACUAGGCAAGUCAGUUAAGAACAAAUUCUUAUUUUCAAUGACGGCCUAGGAACAGUGAGUUAACUGCCUUGUUCAGGAGCAGAACGACAGAUUUGUACCUUGUCAGCUCGGGGAUUCAAACUUGCAACCUUUCGGCUACUAGUCUAACGCUCUAACCACUAGGCUACACUGCCACCAUUUGCCUUGACAACAGCUUUGCACACUCUUGGCAUUCUCUCAACCAGCUUCAUGACGUAGCCGCAUGGAAUCCAUUUCAAUUAACAGGUGUGCCUUGUUAAAAGUUAAUUUGUGGAAUUUCUGAUUGCGUUUGAGCCAAUCAGUUGUGUUGUGACAAGGUAGGGGUGUUAUACAGAAGAUAGCCCUAUUUGGUAAAAGACCAAGUCCAUAUUAUGGCAAGAACAGGUCAAAUAAGCAAAGAGAAUUGACAGUCCAUCAUUACUUUAAGACAUGAAGGUCAGUCAAUACGAAAAAUGUCAAGAACUUUGAAAGUUUCUUCAAGUGCAGUCGCACAAACCAUCAAGCGCUGUGAUGAAACUGUCACUCAUGAGGACCGCCACAGGAAUUGAAGACCCAGAGUUGCCUCUGCUGCAGAGGAUAAGUUCAUUAGAGUUACCAGCCUCAUAAAUUGCAGGCAAAAUAAAUGCUUCACAUAGUUCAAGUAACAGACACAUCUUAACAUCAACUGUUUAGAGGAGACUGUGUGAAUCAGGCCUUCAUGGUUGAAUUGCUGCAAAGAAACCACUACUACAGGACACCAAUAAGAAGAACAGACUUGCUUGGGCCAAGAAACACGAGCAAUGGACAUUAGACCGGUGGAAAUUUGUCCAAAUUGGAGAUUUUUGGUUCCAACUGCAAUGUCUUUGUGAGACGUGGUGUGGGUGAACGGGUGAUCUUCACAUAUGUAUUUCCCACCGUAAAGCAUGGAGGAGGAGGUGUUAUGGUGUGGGGGUGCUUUGCUGGUGACACUGUCUGUGAUUUAUUUACAAUUAAAGGCAAACUUAAUCAGCAUGGCUACCACAGCAUUCUGCAGCGAUACGCCCUCCCAUCUGGUUCGGGCUUAGUGGGACUAUCGUUUGUUUUUCAGCCGGACAAUGACCCAACACACCUCCCGGCUGUGUAAGGGCUAUUUUACCAAGAAGGAGAGUGAUGGUGCUGCAUCAGAAGACAUGGCCUCCACAAUCCCCCGACCUCAACCAAAUUGAGAUGGUUUGGGAGGAGUCAGACUGCAGAGUGAAGAUAAAACAGCCAACAAGUG